rnacentral:lncRNA from 1 species
UAUUACACCACAAUAGGAUAAUAUAGGAGUGCGUGCCAAUAACUGGAUUUAAGUAUUUUUGAGUCAGUGGUUUAUGUUCAACUAGUUAUAAGCGUUACUAGAUCGGAUCGUAAUAAUUGAUAUUAGAACUUAUUCACCAGCCGAAGGUGUGAGAUUGGCCUCAUAUAGUGAUCAGAAAGUAUGAGAUAGAUCUCACAUUGCCAGAUGAUUAUGGUCUAAUGUGUGUGAUUGGAUCGACAAGGAUGUCGGAACCUAAAAUGGAGGAAAUAUAUGACACUGUAAUAAUCCUGCAUCGAAUAAUAUAAGAGAGUAUGUGAAUCUUAUAUAUGUGUGACGAGUAUAUUAUAACUAAUUAUUUGGCUUAAGCAUUUGAGCCCAAUAAAUUAUUAAUAUUAG